UUAAGUCAGGUGUGAAAUUUCAGGGCUCAACCCUGAAACUGCGCUUGAAACUGGCAGGCUAGAGGACAGGAGAGGGAAGUGGAAUUCCCGGUGUAACGGUGAAAUGCGUAGAUAUCGGGAGGAACACCAUUGGCGAAUGCGGCUUCCUGGCCCGCGACUGACUCUCAUGUUCGAAAGCCAGGGAAGCGAACCGGAUUAGAUACCCGGGUAGUCCUGGCCGUAAACGAUGGGUGCUAGGUGUAGCGCGUCAAGCGUCUGUGCCGAAGUUAACGCGAUAAGCACCUCGCCUGGGGANUACGUCCCCAAGGCUGAAACUC
rnacentral:rRNA from 1 species